GAAUUCCUUGUGGGCUACCCCCCACCAUCACCAAUGGAGAUUUCAUUAGCACCAACAGAGAGAAUUUUCACUAUGGAUCAGUGGUGACCUACCGCUGCAAUCCUGGAAGCGGAGGGAGAAAGGUGUUUGAGCUUGUGGGUGAGCCCUCCAUAUACUGCACCAGCAAUGACGAUCAAGUGGGCAUCUGGAGCGGCCCGGCACCUCAGUGCAUUAUACCUAACAAAUGCACGCCUCCAAAUGUGGAAAAUGGAAUAUUGGUAUCUGACAACAGAAGCUUAUUUUCCUUAAAUGAAGUUGUGGAGUUUAGGUGUCAGCCUGGCUUUGUCAUGAAAGGACCCCCCCGUGUGAAGUGCCAGGCCCUGAACAAAUGGGAGCCGGAGCUACCAAGCUGCUCCAGGGUAUGUCAGCCACCUCCAGAUGUCCUGCAUGCUGAGCGUACCCAAAGGGACAAGGACAACUUUUCACCCGGGCAGGAGGUGUUCUACAGCUGUGAGCCCGGCUACGACCUCAGAGGGGCUGCGUCUCUGCGCUGCACACCCCAGGGAGACUGGAGCCCUGCAACCCCCACAUGUGAAGUGAAAUCCUGUGAUGACUUCAUGGGCCAACUUCUUAAUGGCCGUGUGCUAUUUCCAGUAAAUCUCCAGCUUGGAGCAAAAGUGGAUUUUGUUUGUGAUGAAGGAUUUCAAUUAAAAGGCAGCUCUGCUAGUUACUGUGUCUUGGCUGGAAUGGAAAGCCUUUGGAAUAGCAGUGUUCCAGUGUGUGAAC
rnacentral:sRNA from 1 species